rnacentral:rRNA from 1 species
CCAUGCAUGUCUAAGUAUAAGCACUUAUACCGUGAAACUGCGAAUGGCUCAUUAAAUCAGUUAUCGUUUAUUUGAUAGUACCUUUACCUGGAUAACCGUGGUAAUUCUAGAGCUAAUACAUGCUAAAAACCCCGACUUCGGAAGGGGUGUAUUUAUUAGAUAAAAAACCAAUGCCCUUCGGGGCUCCUUGGUGAUUCAUAAUAACUUAACGAAUCGCAUGGCCUUGCGCCGGCGAUGGUUCAUUCAAAUUUCUGCCCUAUCAACUUUCGAUUGUAGGAUAGAGGCCUACAAUGGUCUUAACGGGUAACGGGGAAUUAGGGUUCUAUUCCGGAGAGGGAGCCUGAGAAACGGCUACCACAUCCAAGGAAGGCAGCAGGCGCGCAAAUUACCCAAUCCCGAUACGGGGAGGUAGUGACAAUAAAUACUGAUACGGGGCUCUUUCGGGUCUCGUAAUUGGAAUGAGUACAAUCUAAAUCCCUUAACGAGGAACAAUUGGAGGGCAAGUCUGGUGCCAGCAGCCGCGGUAAUUCCAGCUCCAAUAGCGUAUAUUAAAGUUGUUGCCGUUAAAAAGCUCGUAGUUGAACCUUGGCCCUGGCUGAUCUGUCCUCCUAAUCGAGCGCACGGAUUCGGUCGGGGCUUUCCUCCUGGGGAGCCCCAUGCCCUUCACUGGGUGUGGCGGGGAACCAGGACUUUUACCUUGAAAAAAUUAGAGUGUUCAAAGCAGGCCUUUGCUCGAAUACAUUAGCAUGGAAUAAUAGAAUAGGACAUCGGUUCUAUUUUGUUGGUUUCUAGGACCGCUGUAAUGAUUAAUAGGGACAGUCGGGGGCGUCAGUAUUCAAUUGUCAGAGGUGAAAUUCUUGGAUUUAUUGAAGACUAACUACUGCGAAAGCAUUCGCCAAGGAUGUUUUCAUUAAUCAGUGAACGAAAGUUAGGGGAUCGAAGACGAUCAGAUACCGUCGUAGUCUUAACCAUAAACUAUGCCGACUAGGGAUCGGACGGUGGUUUUUUAUGCCCCGUUCGGCACCUUACGAGAAAUCAAAGUUUUUGGGCUCGGGGGGGA